CCUACGGGAGGCAGCAGUGGGGGAUAUUGCACAAUGGGGGGAACCCUGAUGCAGCGACGCCGCGUGUGGGAAGACGGUCCUCUGGAUUGUAAACCACUGUCCCCAGGGACGAAAAUGACGGUACCUGGGGAGGAAGCUCCGGCUAACUACGUGCCAGCAGCCGCGGUAAUAGGUAGGGAGCGAGGGUUGUCCGGAAUUACGGGGUGUAAAGGGAGCGUAGGCGGGGAUGAAGGUUGUGUGUAAAAACUACCGGCUCAACUGGUAGUCGCACUCAAAACUGCAGUUCUUGAGUGAAGUAGAGGCAGGCGGAAUUCCUAGUGUAGCGGUGAAAUGCGUAGAUAUCAGGAGGAACACCAGUGGCGAAGGCGGCCUGCUGGGCUUUUACUGACGCUGAGGCUCGAAAGUGUGGGGAGCAAACAGGAUUAGAUACCCUAGUAGUC
rnacentral:rRNA from 1 species